ensembl:lncRNA
GAGUCAUUGUGUUAGAUUAUGUGGAUGGAUGGGGUUGGUUAUAGAGUCAUUGUGUUAGAUUAUGUGGAUGGAUGAGGUUGGUUAUGGAGUCAUUUUGUUAGAUUAUGUGGAUGGAUGUGGUUGGUUAUGGAGUCAGUGUGUUAGAUUAUGUGGAUGGAUGUGGUUGGUUAUGGAGUCAUUGUGUUAGAUUAUGUGGAUGAAUGGGGUUGGUUAUGGAGUCAGUGUGUUAGAUUAUGUGGAUGGAUGGGGUUGGUUAUGGAGUCAGUGUGUUAGAUUAUGUGGAUGGAUGGGGUUGGUUAUGGAGUCAGUG